GCGCCUGUAGCUCAAUUGGAUAGAGCGCCGAGCUACGGACUCGGAGGUUCUGGGUUCAACUCCUAGCAGGCGCACCA
rnacentral:tRNA from 2 species